rnacentral:misc_RNA from 1 species
AAGUCGUAACAAGGUUUCCGUAGGUGAACCUGCGGAAGGAUCAUUAACACGUAUCCACGUAUCAAACUAAACCCGUGAACCAAACCUUCCCUAAUCAUCUGGAAUAGAUGCUCAUAUUAGUAAUCCGUGAUGGUGUAUGUUUCGGCAUACAGGUGAACACAUGAGCUAGUAAGCCAAAUUUCGAUUUGUGACUUACAGUCUAUUCUGAUGAUUGGGCCUAUUGACACUUGAGCCACAUCAUUCCAGCUCCAUUCAUGAUGGAUGAUGCUGUGCGCAAGUGCGACAACACACCUUAUUCACCAUAACAACCCACAUUUGACUGAUUAUACAGUGGAAGGUAACACUUCCUACUGAGAUUAUCUAAACUAAGCACAACUCUUAGCAAUGGAUAUCUUGGUUCUC